CUACGGGUUGCUCCAGUGGGGAAUAUUGGACAAUGGGGGAAACCCUGAUCCAGCAAUGCCGCGUGUGUGAAGAAGGCCUGCGGGUUGUAAAGCACUUUCGGUUGGGAGGACUGCUUCUAGUACUAAUAUUGUUGGAAGUUGACGUUACCUUCAGAAGAAGCACCGGCUAACUCCGUGCCAGCAGCCGCGGUAAUACGGAGGGUGCAAGCGUUAAUCGGAAUUACUGGGCGUAAAGCGCGCGUAGGCGGCUAGAUCAGUCGGGUGUGAAAGCCCCGGGCUUAACCUGGGAAUUGCAUCCGAUACUGGCUAGCUUGAGUACAGGAGAGGGGAGUGGAAUUCCACAUGUAGCGGUGAAAUGCGUAGAUAUGUGGAGGAACACCAAUGGCGAAGGCAGCUCUCUGGCCUGAUACUGACGCUGAGGUGCGAAAGCAUGGGGAGCAAACAGGAUUAGAUACCCGCGUAGUC
rnacentral:rRNA from 1 species